CCUACGGGUGGCUGCAGUGGGGGAUAUUGCACAAUGGGGGAAACCCUGAUGCAGCGACGCCGCGUGGGCGAAGAAGUAUUUCGGUAUGUAAAGCCCUAUCAGCAGGGAAGAAGAAAUGACGGUACCUGAGUAAGAAGCACCGGCUAAAUACGGGCCAGCAGCCGCGGUAAUACGGAUGGUGCAAGCGUUAUCCGGAUUUACUGGGUGGAAAGGGAGCGCAGGCGGCACGGCAAGCCUGAUGUGAAAGCCCGAGGCCCAACCGCGGGACUGCAUUGGGUACUACCGGGCUAGAGUGUCGGAGAGGUAGGCGGAAUUCCUAGUGUAGCGGUGAAAUGCGUAGAUAUUAGGAGGAACACCAGUGGCGAAGGCAGCCUACUGGACGGUGACUGACGCUGAGGCUCGAAAGCGUGGGGAGCAAACAGGAUUAGAUACCCGGGUAGUC
rnacentral:rRNA from 1 species